rnacentral:rRNA from 1 species
UACGUAGGGUGCAAGCGUUGCUCGGAUUUAUUGGGCGUAAAGAGCUCGUAGGCGGCUUGUCGCGUCGACUGUGAAAUCCCGCGGCUCAACUGCGGGUCUGCAGUCGAUACGGGCAGGCUAGAGUUCGGUAGGGGAGACUGGAAUUCCUGGUGUAGCGGUGAAAUGUGCAGAUAUCAGGAGGAACACCGGUGGCGAAGGCGGGUCUCUGGGCCGAUACUGACGCUGAGGAGCGAAAGCGUGGGGAGCGAACAGG